UUUUCAUGAGAGUUUGAUCCUGGCUCAGGACGAACGCGGGCGGCGUGCCUAAUACAUGCAAGUCGAACGAGAGCGACCGGUGCUUGCACUGGUCAAUCUAGUGGCGAACGGGUGAGUAACACGUGGGUAACCUGCCCAUCAGAGGGGGAUAACAUUCGGAAACGGAUGCUAAAACCGCAUAGGUCCUUUAAC
rnacentral:rRNA from 1 species